rnacentral:rRNA from 1 species
UACGUAGGGCGCAAGCGUUGUCCGGAAUUAUUGGGCGUAAAGAGCUCGUAGGCGGCCUGUUGCGUCCGCUGUGAAAUCCCGGGGCUCAACCCCGGGCCUGCAGUGGAUACGGGCUGGCUAGAGGCAGGCAGGGGAGAACGGAAUUCCUGGUGUAGCGGUGGAAUGCGCAGAUAUCAGGAGGAACACCGAUGGCGAAGGCAGAUCUCUGGGCCGUAACUGACGCUGAGGAGCGAAAGCGUGGGGAGCGAACAGG